rnacentral:rRNA from 1 species
GAUGAACGCUGGCGGCGUGCCUAACACAUGCAAGUCGAACGGAGUCCAGCCUUUAAGACCUUCGGGUCAAAGAGGGGAAGACUGAGUGGCGGACGGGUGAGUAACACGUGGGCAACCUGGCUCAUAGAGGGGGAUAACAGAGCGAAAUUUCUGCUAAUACCGCAUAAGCACACACUGCCGCAUGGCAGAGGGUGAAAAGAGAAUCGCUAUGAGAUGGACCCGCGUCUGAUUAGCCAGUUGGCAGGGUAAGAGCCUACCAAAGCGACGAUCAGUAGCCGAUCUGAGAGGAUGAACGGCCACAUUGGGACUGAGACACGGCCCAAACUCCUACGGGAGGCAGCAGUGGGGGAUAUUGCACAAUGGGGGGAACCCUGAUGCAGCGACGCCGCGCGAGUGAAGAAGUAUUUCGGUAUGUAAAGCUCUAUCAGCAGG